AUUUAUUUCUUGUAUUCUGAAUUUACACUGACUGCGAUUUUGUUCUGAGCUCCAGCCGUGACUUUCCAAGACUGAAGCUCUUACAAUUUGACUUUCGGACAUUCAGUGGAAGGACCGUUAGGAUACAGAUGACUCAUUAGGCACUUCGGCGAUAUACAUUGUCGCCAAGGCCGCCACAUCUCUAUCUCCAUCAUCGGUCC
rnacentral:misc_RNA from 1 species